rnacentral:rRNA from 1 species
AACGAACGCUGGCGGCAGGCCUAACACAUGCAAGUCGAGCGAAGCCUUCGGGCUUAGCGGCGGACGGGUGAGUAACGCGUGGGAACGUGCCCUUUGGUACGGAAUAGCCCCGGGAAACUGGGAGUAAUACCGUAUGUGGUCGAGAGACGAAAGAUUUAUCGCCAAAGGAUCGGCCCGCGUUGGAUUAGGUAGUUGGUGGGGUAAUGGCCUACCAAGCCGACGGUCCAUAGCUGGGUUGAGAGGAUGAUCAGCCACACUGGGACUGAGACACGGACCAGACUCCUACGGGAGGCAGCAGUGGGGAAUCUUAGACAAUGGGGGAAACCCUGAUCUAGCCAUGCCGCGUGAUCGAUGAAGGCCUUAGGGUUGUAAAGAUCUUUCAGUGGGGAAGAUAAUGACUGUACCCACAGAAGAAGCCCCGGCUAACUCCGUGCCAGCCGCCGCAGUAACAC